UAAGGAAUAUUGGUCAAUGGAGGCAACUCUGAACCAGCCAUGCCGCGUGCAGGAAGAAGGCCCUAUGGGUCGUAAACUGCUUUUGAACAAGAGAAAACCCCGGUACGUGUACUGGGUUGAUAGUAUUGUUAGAAUAAGCAUCGGCUAACUUCGUGCCAGCAGCCGCGGUAAGACGAAGGAUGCAAGCGUUAUCCGGAUUCAUUGGGUUUAAAGGUGCGUAGGCGGACUGAUAAGUCAGUGGUGAAAUCUCUCGGCUUAACCGAGAAACUGCCAUUGAUACUGUUAGUCUAGAGUACAGAUGAUGUGGGCGGAAUAUGACAUGUAGUGGUGAAAUACUUAGAUAUGUCAUAGAACACCGAUUGCGAAGGCAGCUCACAAAACUGUAACUGACGCUGAGGCACGAAAGUGCGGGGAUCAAACAGGAUUAGAUACCCCAGUAGUCCCUGAGCGGGCUGGCAAGGCGCAU
rnacentral:rRNA from 1 species